GUUCAAGCACUCCAUUCUUGUUGAGGUAGAGAACUGACUUGAGCAUCGGAGGGUCUUGCUGGAGCAACCCCACCUCCGGUUUAGACUUCUUUUGCAGGUCCCGACGGCGACCGCGACUCCCUCGACUCCAGCUUCUCCGGCGCAACCGGAUUUUUGCACCAACAGAUAUAAAUAUCCUUCAGACCUAAGAUCACCAUAGUGACUUGCAAGCAACUCAUUGUGCUUUGGUGCCGAACUAUCUAAAUUUUUAAUGC
rnacentral:lncRNA from 1 species